GACGAACGCUGGCGGCGUGCCUAAUACAUGCAAGUCGAACGCUGAAGAGAGGAGCUUGCUCUUCUUGGAUGAGUUGCGAACGGGUGAGUAACGCGUAGGUAACCUGCCUUGUAGCGGGGGAUAACUAUUGGAAACGAUAGCUAAUACCGCAUAACAAUGGAUGACACAUGUCAUUUAUUUGAAAGGGGCAAUUGCUCCACUACAAGAUGGACCUGCGUUGUAUUAGCUAGUAGGUGAGGUAAUGGCUCACCUAGGCGACGAUACAUAGCCGACCUGAGAGGGUGAUAGGCCACACUGGGACUGAGACACGGCCCAGACUCCUACGGGAGGCAGCAGUAGGGAAUCUUCGGCAAUGGGGGCAACCCUGACCGAGCAACGCCGCGUGAGUGAAGAAGGUUUUCGGAUCGUAAAGCUCUGUUGUAAGUCAAGAACGGGUGUGAGAGUGGAAAGUUCACACUGUGACGGUAGCUUACCAGAAAGGGACGGCUAACUACGUG
rnacentral:rRNA from 1 species